CCUACGGGAGGCAGCAGUGAGGCAUAUUGGUCAAUGGACGAGAGUCUGAACCAGCCAAGUAGCGUGAAGGAUGACUGCCCUAUGGGUUGUAAACUUCUUUUAUAUGGGAAUAAAAUGUUCCACGUGUGGGAUUUUGUAUGUACCAUAUGAAUAAGGAUCGGCUAACUCCGUGCCAGCAGCCGCGGUAAUACGGAGGAUCCAAGAGUUAUCCGGAUUUAGUGGGUUUAAAGGGAGCUUAGGUGGAUUGUUAAGUCAGUUGUGAAAGUUUGCGGCUCAACCGUAAAAUUGCAGUUGAAACUGGCAGUCUUGAGUACAGUAGAGGUGGGCGGAAUGCGUGGUGUAGCGGUGAAAUGCUUAGAUAUCACGAAGAACUCCGAUUGCGAAGGCAGCUCACUGGACUGCAACUGACACUGAGGCGCGAAAGUGUGGGUAUCAAACAGGAUUAGAUACCCCGGUAGUC
rnacentral:rRNA from 1 species